rnacentral:rRNA from 1 species
AUUGAACGCUGGCGGCAUGCCUUACACAUGCAAGUCGAACGGUAACAGGUCUUCGGAUGCUGACGAGUGGCGAACGGGUGAGUAAUACAUCGGAACGUGCCCGAUCGUGGGGGAUAACGGAGCGAAAGCUUUGCUAAUACCGCAUACGAUCUACGGAUGAAAGCAGGGGACCGCAAGGCCUUGCGCGGACGGAGCGGCCGAUGGCAGAUUAGGUAGUUGGUGGGAUAAAAGCUUACCAAGCCGACGAUCUGUAGCUGGUCUGAGAGGACGACCAGCCACACUGGGACUGAGACACGGCCCAGACUCCGACGGGAGGCAGCAGUGGGGAAUUUUGGACAAUGGGCGCAAGCCUGAUCCAGCCAUGCCGCGUGCAGGAUGAAGGCCUUCGGGUUGUAAACUGCUUCUGUACGGAACGAAAAGACUCUGGUUAAUACCUGGGGUCCAUGACGGUACUUUACCAGAAAGCCACGGCUAACUACGUGCCAGCAGCCGCAGUAACAC